rnacentral:rRNA from 1 species
AUUGAACGCUGGCGGCAGGCCUAACACAUGCAAGUAGAACGAGUGGCGGACGGGUGAGUAAUGUAUGGGAAACUGCCCGAUGGCGGGGGAUAACUACUGGAAACGGUAGAUAAUACCGCAUACCAUCGGAUGUGCCCAGAUGGGAUUAGCUAGUAGGUGGGGUAAAGGCUCAACUAGGCGACGAUCCCUAGCUGGUCUGAGAGGAUGACCAGCCACACUGGAACUGAGACACGGUCCAGACUCCUACGGGAGGCAGCAGUGGGGAAUAUUGGACAAUGGGCGCAAGCCUGAUGCAGCCAUGCCGCGUGUAUGAAGAAGUCCUUCGGGUUGUAAAGUACUUUCAGCGAGGAGGCGUUACUCGCAGAAGAAGCAUCGGCUAACUCCGUGCCAGCAGCCGCGGUAAUUC